GCCGAUGUAGCUCAGUUGGUAGAGCGUUUGAUUCGUAAUCAAAAGGUCAUCAGUUCGAUCCUGAUCAUCGGCUCCA
rnacentral:tRNA from 1 species